rnacentral:rRNA from 1 species
GACGGAGGGUGCAAGCGUUGCUCGGAAUCAUUGGGCGUAAAGGGUGCGUAGGCGGCUUUUUAAGUCUGACGUGAAAGCCCCGGGCUUAACCUGGGAACUGCGCUCGAAACUACUUGGCUUGAGUGUGGCAGAGGGAGGUGGAAUUCCACGUGUAGCGGUGAAAUGCGUAGAGAUGUGGGGGAACACCGAUGGCGAAGGCAGCCUCCUGGGCCAACACUGACGC